rnacentral:lncRNA from 1 species
GGAAACAGAAUUCCAAACCUGGACUUACAUCCGACUCCAAACACAAGCAAACCAGGAAACAGAAUGCCAAUAGAUGGGCUUACAUCCGACUCCAAACAAAAGCAAACAAGGAAACAGAAUGCCAAACAUGGACUUACAUCCGACUCCAAACAAGCACACGCUAACCAGCGAACGCCAAAGCAAAAGGUUAUCAGAUCAAUCAAACUAAUAAGGAGUCUGGAACUCG